rnacentral:rRNA from 1 species
UACGUAGGGUGCGAGCGUUGUCCGGAAUUAUUGGGCGUAAAGAGCUCGUAGGCGGUGUGUCGCGUCGGCCGUGAAAACCUGGGGCUCAACUCUGGGCGUGCGGUCGAUACGGGCAUCACUUGAGUUCGGCAGGGGAGACUGGAAUUCCUGGUGUAGCGGUGGAAUGCGCAGAUAUCAGGAGGAACACCGAUGGCGAAGGCAGAUCUCUGGGCCGUAACUGACGCUGAGGAGCGAAAGCAUGGGGAGCGAACAGG